CACACACACACACACACACACACACAAACACUUUCACGUGCAAAGCGGUGAAAUUUUGGAUUUAGGAUCGUGGAAGUCUAGACCCGGAGAGAUUCAUUAUCACGUGCAUGCAGACGCCCAAAUCACAGGAUGUCCACUUUACGUCCUUUUUAAGUCCACUAGUGAAAGCCUCAGCGUACUUAACGUGGAGAGAACAUCUGCGAGUGUUGUGCGAAAACAAAACCACCUUCAUGAGUUUGUAAGCUUGCAAGGUUGUAUGCUGUCUCCCGUUUCGUAUUGGCCGUGAUGUACGAGUUCUUCCUAUAUUACGAAACUGCAACGAGAACUCCUGAAGGUAGUUUGGUCUCUGCGAUAAGUACGCUGAGGUCUUAAGUCAGAUUAGACGUGCUACCUAACUUUAUUUACAUGCAAAAGCUCUUCAUCAGGUACUUGAAGUAAUACCGUGAAUUUUUUACCUCCGAGACCGGAUUCGGUCAAAGCUGCAAUGUUUCAGUUCCUUUAAAACAGCGUGUAUUUAACAGCAAUUGUAGUUACACUGUAAAUUGCACCAUACAGUACAGUAGGCAUGUGCCGAUAAUCACUUAUAUAUAAUUAUAUUAUAUUCAAAAUGCAUGAUGUUGUAAUUGUUGAUAAUUAUAAUGUCAUGAUAGCUAGCAUGUUUCUUGAUGUUCUAGAAUGUUUUAAGAGCCAUAUUUGUGUUCGUAUAUUGACAAAAGUUGUUUCCACGGCUACAUUAAGCUAGCUAACAUCUCCAUCCUCAUGCUCAUGUUGAGUUCCACUACUGAAGAAAGCGAAAGCUGCAAAAUGUUGAUUUGACACACAUGUUGACGACAUGCUGGUUGGCACUUGUACAUGGAGCUGCAUUUUACAUUUUAUGGAGGAAAAGAAAUUCUGAAAUGGGUAUCUAAUAUCUGUUCAUUUUGUACAAGCAGCGCUUGUACAAGAGGUCUGUUCUGACUUUUGUCAGGUGUCAGAUUCCUGUUAGCUGAUUUAAAUAGCUAGCAAUAACCUCAUAUGAUAAUUUUAUUUAGCUAGCAAUAAUCUGUGGUAAUUAGUUAGCCAUCAUGGACCUCUUGGAGUAACUUAAGCUAGCUAGUAAUAACCUUCUGUUUUAAAUUUAGCUAGCUAUAGUAAUUUUAGCUAGCCAUAACUUUAUCUAGCUAGCAAUAAACUUCUGUGGUAACUUUAGCGAACUAGCUAUAACCUCCUGAGGUAGCAUUAGCUAGCUAGCAAUACUCUGCUGUGCUAACUUUACCUAACUAGCCAGUGUUUCUCAUGUUUCUUUUUAUAAGAUAACUCAAGAAGAA
ensembl:lncRNA